rnacentral:rRNA from 1 species
UACGUAGGAGACGAGCGUUGUCUGGAAUCACUGGGCGUAAAGCGCGUGUAGGCGGAUGGGCAAGUCUGCUGUGAAAGCUCCUGGCUUAACCGGGAGUAGUCGGUGGAAACUGCCAAUCUGGAGGACGGUAGAGGUAGGUAGAAUUCCCGGUGUAGUGGUGAAAUGCGUAGAGAUCGGGAGGAAUACCUGUGGCGAAGGCGGCCUACUGGGCCGGACCUGACGCUGAGACGCGAAGGCGUGGGGAGCGAACAGG